GAAUGAUGCACAAAACAUGAGAAGACCUCUCAGUUCUUUAUAUCUGGGUCUUAUACAACAUCAAGAGAAGCCCACAACAUGUGUCAAUAGGUCUGUUGGGGCAGGAAAAAGAUAUCUGUUCUACCUAUUUUUUAGACACUGAUGGACCUGGCUCUGCGUCUCCGCGCGAGCCUGGUAUAAUAAGUAUCUGGACCAGGUCCUGAUGAGGAAGAGUCAGCAGGAUGAUAAAUGAAUGUCAUCAUGGAACUUAGACAAGAACCACCAGCUGCACAGAUGAUCCAUCUUUUGUUCUUUUUUGUUUUUGUUUUCAUGCCAUCAGGUGUGUUCUUAUCACUUUCCACAAGAAUUUUGGAUGUUGAUAAUCUUAGUUACUAGGUUUUUUAACUCUCUUGGUGUUGUUCUAUU